CCAUUGGUGGUUUAGUGGUAGAAUUCCCACCAUCCAUGUGGAAGGUCCGGGUUCAAUUCCCAGCCAACGUA
rnacentral:tRNA from 1 species